rnacentral:rRNA from 1 species
AUUGAACGCUGGCGGCAUGCCUUACACAUGCAAGUCGAACGGCAGCACGGGUGCUUGCACCUGGUGGCGAGUGGCGAACGGGUGAGUAAUACAUCGGGACAUGUCCUGUAGUGGGGGAUAGCCCGGCGAAAGCCGGAUUAAUACCGCAUACGAUCUACGGAUGAAAGCGGGGGACCUUCGGGCCUCGCGCUAUAGGGUUGGCCGAUGGCUGAUUAGCUAGUUGGUGGGGUAAAGGCCUACCAAGGCGACGAUCAGUAGCUGGUCUGAGAGGACGACCAGCCACACUGGGACUGAGACACGGCCCAGACUCCUACGGGAGGCAGCAGUGGGGAAUUUUGGACAAUGGGCGAAAGCCUGAUCCAGCAACGCCGCGUGUGUGAAGAAGGCCUUCGGGUUGUAAAGCACUUUUGUCCGGAAAGAAAUCCUUGGCCCUAAUACGGUCGGGGGAUGACGGUACCGGAAGAAUAAGCACCGGCUAACUACGUG